rnacentral:lncRNA from 1 species
UUUUUCUUUUUUUUUUUUUCUUUUAAUUGUGGAUUGGCGCGUGCCCCUUUCGCAUGGAAUAUACAAGUAGUUUGGGAUUUACAGUCCAGUUACGGGACUCAGGAUUAACUGCGCUGGCAUCUUUUGGGCAUAUCCUUCCUUUUAAUGAAUAAGCUUUCGCUGUUAAUGAGGAAUAAUCGUUUGGCUAAUGAGCUUUGAAACAUUAAGAGAAAAGAGGUUUUUUCCCCCCGUUAAUCGCUCUGGUGCGACUGCAUGGAUGGAUUACAAAAGACAGCACUAGUGCAGUACAAAGGUUGGGGGAGCUCCUUGGGAGUGGGAGAAGCACCGAGUGGGAGAUGUGCCCCUGCAUCUCUUCUUCCUUCUCUCUUUCCCCUCUCUCUGCCAACUGCUAUGGGUUUCCAUAACUCCGCAAUCGAAGUGGAUGGUCGGGAAGGAUUAUUAUACAGAGUAAAGCCUCCGCUGUUAAUGUCUCCAGUGUUUAAUCAUCAUACAGUAGGAUGGUUUUAUGCAUAUUUCAUUUGCAUAUCAUUAAACUACGUUAGCGAGGGGGCACCCAGAGCCGAGAGGAGCACAAAGUUGGGAAGACAGGGAAGGAAAAAGAGAUUCCCUAUGAUGCUUAUCUUCAAACGGGGGCUUGUUCCUUCCAUGAUGUGUCUUCUGCCUUUCUAAAAUCAUUAUGACUUGGAAACCUUUGAAGUUGGAUACAACCUUGGAUUCCUCUAAUUCCUGCAGAGCGGUAUAUUUUUAAGAUCGGCAGCAAUGUCCCUGCACUAGACAAUUAAAGGAAUAUAAACUCCAGUGGGCUGAGACUAGUAGCUCUUUGGGGAACACAGUGGCAGGAGCUUCUACAAAUACCAACACUUAAAAAAAAUCAUAAUAAAGAACGUCAUACCAAAAACAAAGAAAGAAGACAAGAGAUUUUAACAUGUGGAUUAUAUUUGUUUUGUUUGGGGGGUAAUAAGCUAAAGAGAGUGAAGAAGUCAUUGAUUCGGCAUGGCCACAGAAAGAACAGUAUGACAUGGUUUCCUGUCCAGGAGCAGAGCCAACACAACAUGGGACUUCUCGAGUGCUGACAGUUGCUGUAGGAAUAAGGUAAUAGUUUGGCCUUUUAAUCUGAAAUGAACUACAAUCCAGUAAUGGAGGGCACACUUGUGAUCCAGAUCUUGAGGCUGGAAUAUACAGCGUUUUGAUCCAGAUCUUGAGGAAUAGUGGCCCUGAAAAUCUAACCCUAACCCUGAAAAUCUUAGGACUGGACAAAGUGGUAGACACCAUUAAUCCCAGGAAACAAAGCAAGAAGAUCUACAGUCCACUGUGAAGCAUACUGCGACUGUAAUGGCUCACAGCUACAGUGAAGGCAGGCACGGCCUUGCUCAUCAGACUGCGUCAGUUAUGAUCUAUGUCACAAGACACCCAAAGAGAGCUGAACUGACUGGACAUUCCACAUGACACCACACUGGCCCACUUUGUUGAUGGAUUAUAUUCACCAAAUCUAAUUAAACAAAAUGGGAUGUCUUCAUAAGAGAAAUGUACUCUAUGAGGGGCUCCCAGCUAAACAUCUGCAUUGAGUCUCAGAAAAGGCUUGGGCCUUGGACUUCUGAACAACAUUGGAACUGUCAAUAUUUGGGGUACUCUUGGGGACAGUCUAUGUACAAUUUGUAUUGUGAGGUGGCCAUAAACCUUUCCGGGCUAAGAGCAGAACACUAUCAUCUGAAAAUGGAAUCUACUUGACAAGCCCAGGUUUUAGACCCUUGGUACCCAGCUUAGGAGGUGGGAGAACUUAGGCAGAGAAAGUAGAUCACUGGACAUGGAUCUUUGAAGACCCAGAAUUGGGUCUCAUCACUUACUGUUUGCCAUCCACCAUGAGGUGAGUAGCCUCUGUCACAUGUUCCUGCUGCAUGGUAUUCGGCUUCAUCGAGUUUUAUCAAGAACUAACGAAGUCAGACCAUGGACACAGCCAAAA